rnacentral:rRNA from 1 species
UACGUAGGGGGCUAGCGUUGUCCGGAUUUAUUGGGCGUAAAGAGUGCGUAGGCGGUUUUCUAAGUUUGGUGUGAAAUCUCCCGGCUCAACUGGGAGGGUGCGCCGAAGACUGGAAGACUAGAGUGUGGGAGAGGUAAGCGGAAUUCCUGGUGUAGCGGUGAAAUGCGUAGAUAUCAGGAGGAACACCUGCGGUGUAGACGGCUUACUGGACCACCACUGACGCUGAGGCACGAAAGCGUGGGUAGCAAACGGG